rnacentral:rRNA from 1 species
GUAUUAGAGGAGUAAAGUCGUACCACGUUUCUGUAGGUCACCUGCGUGAGAUCAUUA